AGAAGAGCUGACCAAGACCUAGUCCCAGCAGAUUGAGGAGAGCACCUCAGUGGUAACAUCACAGUUUGCUGAGGUUGGAGCUGCUAACA
ensembl:miRNA